CCUACGGGAGGCAGCAGUAGGGAAUAUUGCUCAAUGGGCGAAACCCUGAAGCAGCAACGCCGCGUGGAGGAUGAAGGUUUUCGGAUUGUAAACCUCUUUUGUUAGAGAAGAUAAUGACGGUUUCUAACGAUUAAGCACCGGCUAACGCCGUGCCAGCAGCCGCGGUAAUACGGAGGGUGCAAGCGUUACUCGGAAUCACUGGGCGUAAAGGGCGCGUAGGCGGGAUAGUAAGUCAGAUGUGAAAUCCUAUGGCUUAACCAUAGAACUGCAGUUGAAACUGGUAGUCUAGAGUAUGGGAGAGGUAGGUGGAAUUCGUGGUGUAGCGGUAAAAUCCGUAGAGAUCAAGAGGAAUACUGAUUGCGAAGGCGACCUGCUAGAACAUAACUGACGCUGAUGCGCGAAAGCGUGGGGAGCAAACAGGAUUAGAUACCCUAGUAGUC
rnacentral:rRNA from 1 species